rnacentral:rRNA from 1 species
UACGGGGGGAGCAAGCGUUGUUCGGAUUUACUGGGCGUAAAGGGCGCGUAGGUGGUCGUGACAAGUCACUUGUGAAAUCUCCGGGCUUAACUCGGAACGGUCAAGUGAUACUGUCGGACUAGAGUACAGAAGGGGCAACUGGAAUUCUCGGUGUAGCGGUGAAAUGCGUAGAUAUCGAGAGGAACACCUGCGACGAAGGCGGGUUGCUGGGCUGAUACUGACGCUGAGGCGCGAAAGCCAGGGGAGCGAACGGG